ensembl:lncRNA
CCCCUUCACCGCGCCCUCUGGGCUCUGCCGUUAAUCGCACGGAGAGGGGGUGCCGCCGACACUCCUCGCUCCACCCACACGCGUGAGAGCGGCCGCGCUGCCUGGGCUGGAGGGGGUUGCCUCGCUUUCCUUCAGCUUCUUAGAACUUUCUAGGCGCGAUUGUGGCCACAACUUGGACCUUCUAAGAACAGUGCUGCGUCGUGACGCUCUGCUACCAGGCUGAUCCGCUCGGGGUUUGUCCGGAAAUGGCGGACGCAGGAAUGUUUCAAAAUGAUGUUAAUUUCUACAGAGAGGAAAAGAUAAUGUGCCACUGGACAAGCAUCAGCUAAGGAGAAAUGAGGGUCCAACGAUGAAGGAUUUCUAUGACUUCUUGGAACAAACAGCUAAAGUUUCUCCAUAUCUGUCAACAAUUUAGUCGUUGAUAAUGGACUCGUUUCAUUGCACAGUGAAAAGCAAGCCCUGUAAACUGUUCCAAAACUGAAUCUCAGUCUGUGGUAUAUACAUUUACAUGGGCCUUGGUUUUGUAAUGUUCUUCAGUUAUACAAUGAGCACUGACUGAUAUAAGAAUUGCUUCAAAACAACGUUUUCCUUGUGCAAGCGGCAACUCCUCUGGCUAUAAAUAAACACUCAAACAAGGCAGCUUUAAAUAGCUUAAAAAUAACACUCUUCCAUUUCUUCCAAGCAGUAAAGUUAUGUAAAAGCAUUGCAACUGAAGAAAGGUAGGAGCCUGUAAUAGGAGCCUGAAGGGUAGGCAGAUGCUAUGGUGAUGUAAGGGCUGUGUAAGACUAUAAAUCAAACUUUAUACAGACUGUUUUAAAGCUGGGGGAGACACGUUCCCUAACCUUGGGGGAUUUGAAUCCUAUUGAAAAUGACAAGAUGCU